GUGAAUCAUCGAAUUUUUGAACGCAAAUUGCACUUUCUUCGGAGAGUGUGAGUGUUUGAGGGUCAGCCUAUAAAAAAUCGACAUCGUUGCUGUUUCGCGGUGGCGUUCGUCGGAAAUUGGGUCAUCUUAAAUUUUUUGGUUUUAAGCGACUUAAAAUUUUCUUUUUGGUUCCAUGAACGUUUCUAAGAUUUAUUUAUUUACACGUUUAAGGUAUCGAUUUUUAUUAGACGUGACCAUCAUAUCGGAUCGUGUCAAUAAUUUUUUAAUUGA
rnacentral:misc_RNA from 1 species